UCCGUAGGCGGGCAGCUAAGUCAGUGGUGAAAGUCUGCAGCUCAACUGUAGAAUUGCCAUUGAUACUGGUUGUCUUGAAUUAUUAUGAAGUGGUUAGAAUAUGUAGUGUAGCGGUGAAAUGCAUAAAUAUUACAUAGAAUACCAAUUGCGAAGGCAGAUCACUAAUAAUAUAUUGACGCUGAUGGACGAAAGCGUGGGGAGCGAACAGGAUUAGAUACCCUGGUAGUCC
rnacentral:rRNA from 1 species